rnacentral:rRNA from 1 species
AUUGAACGCUGGCGGCAGGCCUAACACAUGCAAGUCGAGCGAGCGGCGGACGGGUGAGUAAUGUAUGGGGACUGCCCGAUAGAGGGGGAUAACUACUGGAAACGGUAGCUAAUACAGCCUACUAUCUGAUCACCCAUAGGGGAUUAGCUAGUAGGUGGGGUAAUGGCUCACCUAGGCGACGAUCCCUAGCUGGUCUGAGAGGAUGAGCAGCCACACUGGGACUGAGACACGGCCCAGACUCCUACGGAGGCAGCAGUGGGGAAUAUUGCACAAUGGGCGCAAGCCUGAUGCAGCCAUGCCGCGUGUAUGAAGAAGGCCCUAGGGUUGUAAAGUACUUUCAGUCGGGAGGCGUUACCGACAGAAGAAGCACCGGCUAACUCCGUGCCAGCAGCCGCGGUAAUAC